UGAGUAACACGUGGGUAACCUGCCUGUAAGACUGGGAUAACUCCGGGAAACCGGGGCUAAUACCGGAUGGUUGUUUGAACCGCAUGGUUCAAACAUAAAAGGUGGCUUCGGCUACCACUUACAGAUGGACCCGCGGCGCAUUAGCUAGUUGGUGAGGUAACGGCUCACCAAGGCAACGAUGCGUAGCCGACCUGAGAGGGUGAUCGGCCACACUGGGACUGAGACACGGCCCAGACUCCUACGGGAGGCAGCAGUAGGGAAUCUUCCGCAAUGGACGAAAGUCUGACGGAGCAACGCCGCGUGAGUGAUGAAGGUUUUCGGAUCGUAAAGCUCUGUUGUUAGGGAAGAACAAGUACCGUUCGAAUAGGGCGGUACCUUGACGGUACCUAACCAGAAAGCCACGGCUAACUACGUGCCAGCAGCCGCGGUAAUACGUAGGUGGCAAGCGUUGUCCGGAAUUAUUGGGCGUAAAGGGCUCGCAGGCGGUUUCUUAAGUCUGAUGUGAAAGCCCCCGGCUCAACCGGGGAGGGUCAUUGGAAACUGGGGAACUUGAGUGCAGAAGAGGAGAGUGGAAUUCCACGUGUAGCGGUGAAAUGCGUAGAGAUGUGGAGGAACACCAGUGGCGAAGGCGACUCUCUGGUCUGUAACUGACGCUGAGGAGCGAAAGCGUGGGGAGCGAACAGGAUUAGAUACCCUGGUAGUCCACGCCGUAAACGAUGAGUGCUAAGUGUUAGGGGGGUUUCCGCCCCUUAGUGCUGCAGCUAACGCAUUAAGCACUCCGCCUGGGGAGUACGGUCGCAAGACUGAAACUCAAAGGAAUUGACGGGGGCCCGCACAAGCGGUGGAGCAUGUGGUUUAAUUCGAAGCAACGCGAAGAACCUUACCAGGUCUUGACAUCCUCUGACAAUCCUAGAGAUAGGACGUCCCCUUCGGGGGCAGAGUGACAGGUGGUGCAUGGUUGUCGUCAGCUCGUGUCGUGAGAUGUUGGGUUAAGUCCCGCAACGAGCGCAACCCUUGAUCUUAGUUGCCAGCAUUCAGUUGGGCACUCUAAGGUGACUGCCGGUGACAAACCGGAGGAAGGUGGGGAUGACGUCAAAUCAUCAUGCCCCUUAUGACCUGGGCUACACACGUGCUACAAUGGACAGAACAAAGGGCAGCGAAACCGCGAGGUUAAGCCAAUCCCACAAAUCUGUUCUCAGUUCGGAUCGCAGUCUGCAACUCGACUGCGUGAAGCU
rnacentral:rRNA from 1 species